rnacentral:rRNA from 1 species
CGAAAGCCUGACGGAGCAAUACCGCGUGAGGGAGGAAGGUUCUUGGAUUGUAAACCUCUUUUCUCAGGGAAGAAAAAAAUGACGGUACCUGAGGAAUAAGCAUCGGCUAACUCCGUGCCAGCAGCCGCGGUAAUACGGAGGAGGCAAGCGUUAUCCGGAAUUAUUGGGCGUAAAGCGUCCGCAGGUGGCGAUUCAAGUCUGCUGUCAAAGCACGGGGCUUAACUCCGUAAAGGCAGUGGAAACUGAAUAGCUAGAGUGCCGUAGGGGUAGAGGGAAUUCCCGGUGUAGCGGUGAAAUGCGUAGAGAUCGGGAAGAACAUCGGUGGCGAAAGCGCUCUGCUGGGCCGCAACUGACACUCAGGGACGAAAGCUAGGGGAGCG